rnacentral:rRNA from 1 species
AUGGAUAUGGAUAUCAUGCCUGCCUCUCAAGGCAGCAGGAUGAAGCAAUCGAAGAAUCCAAGGAGGAGGUUUUUAUUUCUUUUCAAACAGAAGGUUGGAUCUCUAGUUCACGGAGAAGACAAAGUUAUUGGGCCAAAGAAGAUGUUUAGGCUAUGUAUUCUUGAUGAGUUUGGCAUGAGAACAAUGGCUAAACCUAUGGUUAUACUUAAAUCAACAUCACUACGCCGUGAAAUAAAACUUCGUACGGAGAAGCGGAAGAUAGUGUGGGCUUACCGUGUAUAUCAGGUUCGUACAUGGGAAGCUUUCAAGAGAAAUGUCGAAACCAUCGGAAGGUUGACUCGUACGUUAAACAAUGCAAUUAGAACGUACGGCAGCCGUCGUUUGCAAGCUGGAUUAUUUUACUUGGCCAUAAAUUGGAAUCCUCGUUUUACAUACACGGUUCGUAGUCAUAUCUACGGUGACAAUGAGUUUUUGAGAGAUUUGUGGAGAAAGAAGAGACUGGAGCGUAAGAUGAGGCAAACUAAGAUGGAGCUAUGCAACACUUCUGCAAGUACAUAG